AACGAACGCUGGCGGCAGGCCUAACACAUGCAAGUCGAGCGCCCUUUCGGGGGUUCGGCGGACGGGUGGGUAACGCGUGGGAAUAUGCCCUUCUCUACGGAAUAGCCUCGGGAAACUGAGAGUAAUACCGUAUACGCCCUGUGGGGGGAAGAUUUAUCGGGGAAGGAUUAGCCCGCGUUGGAUUAGGUAGUGGGUGGGGUAAUGGCCUACCAAGCCGACGAUCCAUAGCUGGUUUGAGAGGAUGAUCAGCCACACUGGGACUGAGACACGGCCCAGACUCCUACGGGAGGCAGCAGUGGGGAAUCUUAGACAAUGGGGGCAACCCUGAUAUAGCCAUGCCGCGUGAGUGAUGAAGGCCUUAGGGUUGUAAAGCUCUUUCAGCUGGGACGAUAAUGACGGUACCAGCAGAAGAAGCCCCGGCUAACUCCGUG
rnacentral:rRNA from 1 species